rnacentral:rRNA from 1 species
GGUCAAGCUACUAAGGGCGCAUGGGGGAUGUCUUGGCAUCAGAAGGCUUUGAAGGGCGUGGAAGACUGCGAUAAGCCCGGGGAAAUUGUCAAACGAGUGUUGAUCCCGGGAUUCCCGAACUGACGUACGCUGAAUCCAUAGGCGUGCGUGGCCAACGCGGCGAACUGAAACAUCUAAGUAACCGCAGGAAGAGAAAGAAAAAUCGAUUUCCUCAGUAGCGGCGAGCGAACGGGAAACAGCCCAAACCGCGAGGAUUUUCCUCGUGGGGUUGUAGGGCCCUUCCCAUGGGAGUCACAAAGUUUUUUGCUAGCGGAACUGCUUGGAAAGGCAGGCCAUAGCGGGUGACAGCCCCGUACGCGACAGCGAGAAACCUCCCGAAGGGUACCUGAGUAGGUCGGGUCACGUGGAACCCUGACUGAAUCUACGGGGACCAUCCCGUAAGGCUAAAUACUCUCUGAUGACCGAUAGCGAACUCAGUAGGGCGACUGAAAGAUGGGAAGAACCCCUGCUAGGGGAGGAUACUGAACCUGAAACCAUGUGCCUACAAGCGGUCGGAGGACUAUGGCUCAUUUAUGGGCAAGGUCUGACGGCGUGCCUUUUGCAUAAUGAUCCGGCGAGUUACCGUCAGUGGCUUGGUUAAGGCCUUCCGGGCUGAAGCCGAAGGGAAACCGAGUCUGAAUAGGGCGACACAGUCGCUGGUGGUAGACGCGAAUCUGCGUGAACUACCCAUGAGCAGGUUGAAUCGCGGGUAAUACCGCGUGGAGGACCGAACCCACUUGGGUUGAAAACCGAGGGGAUGACUUGUGGGGAGGAGUGAAAGUCUCAUCAAACGCAGGGAUAGCUCGUUCUCUCCGAAAUAGCUUUAGGGCUAGCCUUGAGUCACUACGCAACGGGGGUAGAGAUACUGAAUCGGUUUGGGGGCCUUACCCGGCUACCCUGCUGAACCAAACUCCGAAUACCGUUGCGACUAUCUCAGGAGUCAGUCCGCGAGGGAUAAGCUUCGCGGUCGAGAGGGAAACAACCCCGAUCAUCGGCUAAGGUCCCGAAGUAGAACUCAGUCAAAAAGGAAGUUGAGUUGCUGUGACAGCCAGGAUGUUGGCUUAGAAGCAGCCACCAUUUAAAAAGUGCGUAAUAGCUUACUGGUCGAGCAAUUCAGCGCCGAUAAUGAACGGGAGUAAGUUCUACACCGAAGCCGUGGGCUGUAUUGGUCUAUUAGACUGAUACAGCGGUAGGAGAGCGCUGAAGGUCAGAUACAAGCCGUACCGUAAGGAGCGGUGUUGGGGCCUUCAGGUGAUUAUGCCGGAAUGAGUAACGAUAAAGCAGGUGAGAAUCCUGCUCGCCGAAAGCCUAAGGUUUCCUGGGGAAGGUAAAUCCGCCCAGGGUUAGCCGGUUCCUUAGUCGAGGCCGAAAGGCGUAGACGAUGGACAGCAGGUCAACAUUCCUGCGCCACGCAGAAGGACCGAUGGGGGGACGGCGCCCCAAGGGUGAGGGGACUGCUAGAAGUGUCCCUCGCCUGCCGGCGAGUGGAGGGUAGGAAAAUCCGCCCUCGUAAUCUCCAAGGCGGGACAACCGCUCUUACGUUCGGGAUGUCAUCCCAACGGCGUCCAAGAAAAGCCCCUAAGGGUUGAGCUCUGCGUGACCGUACUAAAACUGACACAGGUAGGCGAGACGAGAAGUCUCAGGCGCUCGGGAGAACACUGGUUAAGGAACUCUGCAAAUUGACCCCGUAAGUUCGCGAUAAGGGGUGCCUCCGAAGGUUCACGCUUUUGGAGGUCACAGUAAAUCGGCUUCAGCGACUGUUUAUCAAAAACACAGGACUCUGCGAACUCGUAAGAGGAUGUAUAGAGUCUGACGCCUGCCCGGUGCCGGUAGGUUAAGGAAGAGGGUUAGCCUUCGGGCGAAGCUCGCGACCGAAGCCCCGGUAAACGGCGGCCGUAACUAUGACGGUCCUAAGGUAGCGAAGUUCCUUGUCGGGUAAGUUCCGACCUGCAUGAAUGGCGUAACGACUGAAGCACUGUCUCAACCAGUGACCCGGUGAAAUUGUAGCCGUGGUGAAGAUGCCACGUUCCCGCAGCUAGACGGAAAGACCCCGUGAACCUUUACUGUAGGCUGGUAUUGGGCUGUGGUAUGUCUUGUGUAGAAUAGGUGGGAGGCUGUGAUCUGGGCGCGCUAGCGUUCAGGGAGCCACCGUUGAAAUACCACCCUGGACCUACUUUAGUUCUAACCCCGUCCCGUGAAUCCGGGCGGGGAACAGUGCCAGUUGGGCAGUUUGACUGGGGCGGUCUCCUCCAAAAGAGUAACGGAGGAGCCCAAUGGUACCCUCAGCCUGGUUGGCAAUCAGGCAGCGAGCGCAAAGGUAGAAGGGUGCUUAACUGCGAGACUUAUCAGUCGAGCAGAUACGAAAGUAGGGCUUAGUGAUCCGGCGGUGCUGGAUGGAAAGGCCGUCGCUCAUCAGAUAAAAGGUACUCCGGGGAUAACAGGCUUAUCGCUUCCGAGCGUCCAUAGCGGCGAAGCGGUUUGGCACCUCGAUGUCGGCUCAUCACAUCCUGGGGGUGGAGAAGCUCCCAAGGGUUUGGCUGUUCGCCAAUGAAAGUGGUACGUGAGCUGGGUUCAGACCGUCGUGAGACAGGUCGGUCCCUAUCU